AGAGUUUGAUCAUGGCUCAGAGCGAACGCUGGCGGCAGGCCUAACACAUGCAAGUCGAGCGCCGUAGCAAUACGGAGCGGCAGACGGGAGAGUAACACGUGGGAACGUGCCCUUCAGUUCGGAACAACCCAGGGAAACUUGGGCUAAUACCGGAUACGUCCGUAAGGAGAAAGAUUUAUCGCUGAAGGAUCGGCCCGCGUCUGAUUAGCUAGUUGGUGGGGUAGUGGCCCACCAAGGCGACGAUCAGUAGCUGGUCUGAGAGGAUGAUCAGCCUCACUGGGACUGAGACACGGCCCAGACUCCUACGGGAGGCAGCAGUGGGGAAUAUUGGACAAUGGGCGCAAGCCUGAUCCAGCCAUGCCGCGUGGGUGAUGAAGGCCCUAGGGUUGUAAAGCCCUUUCGGCGGGGAAGAUAAUGACGGUACCCGCAGAAGAAGCCCCGGCUAACUUCGUGCCAGCAGCCGCGGUAAUACGAAGGGGGCUAGCGUUGCUCGGAAUCACUGGGCGUAAAGCGCACGUAGGCGGCUUUUUAAGUCAGGGGUGAAAUCCUGGAGCUCAACUCCAGAACUGCCUUUGAUACUGAGAAGCUUGAGUCCGGGAGAGGUGAGUGGAACUGCGAGUGUAGAGGUGAAAUUCGUAGAUAUUCGCAAGAACACCAGUGGCGAAGGCGGCUCACUGGCCCGGUACUGACGCUGAGGUGCGAAAGCGUGGGGAGCAAACAGGAUUAGAUACCCUAGUAGUCC
rnacentral:rRNA from 1 species